AUCCCUAGAAUCCCUUUCUCUCUCCUCUUUCUUCUUCCUAGCCCGAUACUCUUUCUUUUCUUCUCUCGCAUCUCAAUCGGCCAGACCAGAUGAGCCAUCUCCGACCACCACCCAAUGACACGCACCCCACCACGAGCUUCCUUGGCCCCUGAAACCGCUAACCCGUGAAGCUCGCCUCCCCACUCGCUGACCUCUGUCGCAACUGGCUCCCCAAAGUUCCGUCGCUGCUGUGAGUUUGGAGGAUUUUCUGGCCUCCAUCGUUGAUGAUGAAGGCUCCUGCUGGCGAAGGCGACGACGAAGGCUCCUGAUGUAGAGGGAGAAGAAAUGAUUAUGCUGGUUUUGCCGCCUCUCCCUUGGCUGGUUUGUUGGUGCAAUAGUGUGAUGAUGGGUGGUUCAUGGUUGCAAUGGGACAAUGGCCAGCUCUUGUGUGCGGCAGAGACAUUGGGCUCUUCAAGGGUGUGAUGGGGAUGAUGAAAAAAGAUUGGUGCCCUUACUUAUUAAAAAAAUACUAUGACUGAACAUCAUUGUGGGGACGAGAGCAACACGAAAUUCAGAUCAAGACCAAAUUUUAAUGAGUUUGAGUUUUGACGUGUAUGUUAGUGAUAUUUGAGGAUUUGGAUUUUAGACUUGAAUUGAAUUUAUAAUUCAAAUAAAAUGAGAUUAAAAAUCUCUAUUAUAUUCUUUUUUUUCUUAUUUUUAUAAUUUUUAUUUUAUUAUUUAAUGCAAUAGGUUUAAUUUUAUGUCUUACAAAUAUGUAAAACACAUUUUUAUUAAUAAACUAUGAUUAUAAUC